GAUCAGGCCCAGCUCCCUGACCCCAAACCCUGCAGCCCCAGCUGGAGAUGCUGGGCUUGGGUGGGGGAAUCAGGGGUAUAAAGGGACCUGCU
ensembl:miRNA